CGCUGGCGGCGUGCUUACACAUGCAAGUCGAACGGGAUCCAUCGGGCUUUGCUUGGUGGUGAGAGUGGCGAACGGGUGAAUAAUGCGUGACCGACCUGCCCCAUACACCGGAAUAGCUCCUGGAAACGGGUGGUAAUGCCGGAUGUUCCAGUUGAUCGCAUGGUCUUCUGGGAAAGCUUUCGCGGUAUGGGAUGGGGUCGCGUCCUAUCAGCUUGACGGCGGGGUAACGGCCCACCGUGGCUUCGACGGGUAGCCGGCCUGAGAGGGCGACCGGCCACAUUGGGACUGAGAUACGGCCCAGACUCCUACGGGAGGCAGCAGUGGGGAAUAUUGCACAAUGGGCGCAAGCCUGAUGCAGCGACGCCGCGUGAGGGAUGGAGGCCUUCGGGUUGUAAACCUCUUUUAUCGGGGAGCAAGCGUGAGUAGUGUACCCGUUGAAUAAGCACCGGUUAACUCGUGCCAGCAGCCGCGG
rnacentral:rRNA from 1 species